rnacentral:rRNA from 1 species
GACGAACGCUGGCGGCGUGCCUAAUACAUGCAAGUCGAGCGGACUGAUUAAGAGCUUGCUCUUAUGACGUUAGCGGCGGACGGGUGAGUAACACGUGGACAACCUGCCCUGUAGAUCGGGAUAACACCGAGAAAUCGGUGCUAAUACCGGGUAAUAUCUGAGAUCACAUGAUCUUAGGGUAAAAGAUGGCUCCGGCUACAACUACAGGAUGGGCCCGCGGGGCAUUAGCGAGUGGGUAAGGAAAUGGCUAACAAAGCAGACGAUGCGUAGCCGACAUGAGAGGGGGAUCGGCGACACUGGGACAGAGAGACGGGCCAGACUCUUCCGCGAGGCAGAAGUGGGGAAUCUCCUGCAAAAGACGAGAGACUCACACAGCAACGCGGCGCGAGUGAGGAAAGGGUCCGGCGCGUAUAGAUCUGUUGUUAGGGAAGAAAAAGUAUCUAACGAAAUAUGUCGAUAUCUUGACGGUACCUAACCAGAAAGCCACGGCUAACUACGUG